rnacentral:rRNA from 1 species
GAUGAACGCUGGCGGCGUGCCUAAUACAUGCAAGUCGAGCGAACGGACGAGAAGCUUGCUUCUCUGAUGUUAGCGGCGGACGGGUGAGUAACACGUGGAUAACCUACCUAUAAGACUGGGAUAACUUCGGGAAACCGGAGCUAAUACCGGAUAAUAUUUUGAACCGCAUGGUUCAAAAGUGAAAGACGGUCUUGCUGUCACUUAUAGAUGGAUCCGCGCUGCAUUAGCUAGUUGGUAAGGUAACGGCUUACCAAGGCAACGAUGCAUAGCCGACCUGAGAGGGGGGACGGCCACACUGGAACUGAAGCACGGUCCAGACUCCUACGGGAGGCAGCAGUAGGGAAUCUUCCGCAAUGGGCGAAAGCCUGACGGAGCAACGCCGCGUGAGUGAUGAAGGUCUUCGGAUCGUAAAACUCUGUUAUUAGGGAAGAACAUAUGUGUAAGUAACUGUGCACAUCUUGACGGUACCUAAUCAGAAAGCCACGGCUAACUACGUG